rnacentral:rRNA from 1 species
GAUGAACGCUGGCGGCGUGCCUAAUACAUGCAAGUCGAGCGAACAGACGAGGAGCUUGCUCCGCUGACGUUAGCGGCGGACGGGUGAGUAACACGUGGAUAACCUACCUAUAAGACUGGGAUAACUUCGGGAAACCGGAGCUAAUACCGGCUAAGAUGUUGAACCGCAUGGUUCAAUAGUGAAAGACGGUUUUGCUGUCACUUAUAGAUGGAUCCGCGCCGCAUUAGCUAGUUGGUAAGGUAACGGCUUACCAAGGCAACGAUGCGUAGCCGACCUGAGAGGGUGAUCGGCCACACUGGAACUGAGACACGGUCCAGACUCCUACGGGAGGCAGCAGUAGGGAAUCUUCCGCAAUGGGCGAAAGCCUGACGGAGCAACGCCGCGUGAGUGAUGAAGGUCUUCGGAUCGUAAAACUCUGUUAUUAGGGAAGAACAAAUGUGUAAGUAACUAUGCACGUCUUGACGGUACCUAAUCAGAAAGCCACGGCUAACUACGUG